AUGGUCCUUGCAGCGCAAAAGAAUGGUCUCAUUAAAGGAUUAGUUGCUGAUCUUAUUGAGAAUGGUGUUGGCAUCCUGCAAUACGCGGAUGACACGGUGCUCUGUUUUGAGCAUGAUAUUGACAAAGCUGUUAAUAUCAAACUCUUGCUAUAUCUCUUCGAACUUAUGUCUGGGCUUAAGAUCAAUUUUGAGAAGAGUGAGAUAUUCACUGGAUAA
rnacentral:rRNA from 1 species